rnacentral:piRNA from 1 species
UAAGUUUUCGCGACCAGUGCACAUAAU